UACAGAGGUCCCAAGCGUUGUUCGGAUUCACUGGGCGUAAAGGGUGCGUAGGCGGUUGGGUAAGUCUGUCGUGAAAUCUCCGAGCCUAACUCGGAAACUGCGUCGGAUACUAUUCAACUCGAGGAAUGGAGGGGAGACUGGAAUUCUCGGUGUAGCAGUGAAAUGCGUGGAUAUCGAGAGGAACACCAGUGGCGAAGGCGAGUCUCUGGACGACUCCUGACACUGAGGCACGAAAGCCAGGGGAGCAAACAGG
rnacentral:rRNA from 1 species